AUCUCUACAUGGCGUUUGUGUGUCUCAGAUUGAGGUAGUAGGUUGUAUAGUUCAGAAUUACAUCAAUCAUGGAGAAACUGUACAACCUUCUAGCUUUCCCUGAGGCGCGACGUUUUAGAGCCAUCUACA
rnacentral:precursor_RNA from 9 species